CACAGAUUCUGACCCGAGUUGGCAUAACGAAAGGUGUUGUGGCAAUCGUCGUGGUCCAGCUUACAGGUGCGGGUGUUCAGCAUGGAGAGGUACUGCAGCUCGUCGUCCCACACCUAAGGAUGAUAUGGGAUAUUAGAGGAUAAUAGCCUGGUACUCUUCCGAGAGCCAGGAAGUUUCUUCUCUUGUUGUGACCAUGCAGGAAAUCCGCCUUGUGCCGACUCACAUCCACUUGGACUGCAUCUGGCUGGCAGCGUCUGUGGAAAUUCUAUGGGAAGAAAGCAAACGUAUCUUCAAUUUUAUCUCUUACUCGCAUGUGAUCAUUACUCAAGUAUUUCGGCACGCGAUAUGUUUCACACCAUUGCCGCAUAACUCUGGAUUACACCAGGAAUAAUCCGUUGCCAGGACCAACUGGAAAAUCAGCUGUAAUACAGCCAGGAAGACACUUCCACGAAUCAAAGGCGUCAUAUUUACAAGCUCACUUUUAAGAAUUAAAUAAAAUUAGAAACUAAAUGGGAA